rnacentral:lncRNA from 1 species
GCCAUUGAGAAGCUUGCUUUAUCAAAUAAAGUUUAUUAAAUUAUAAUUAUUGUUAGCAUAGCCUAGUUGUUCAGCAUCUCUUUUCUUCUUCCUUUAGGACAUGUUGAAGGAGUUUGAACUGAAUGUCUCACUGACCAAAUCAUGGUGUGGCAGUUUUGGUUUUACAAUAACCAGGAGUAAACUGGACAACUGCUUUUAUGUCCAGGAGAUCCUGGAUAAUCCAGCCAAAGCAGAUGGCAGACUUAGGGCUGGAGACAGGCUUGUCAUGGUACCACUUUUCCCACCAUUAGAAACACAAUCACAGUUAUGCUUUUAUGACCAUCCCUUUCUGAAGAUUUCAUAAGAUUGUGUUGUCAGUGAUUUGAAUUGGCAUUAUCUCCUUUUAGGUAAACGGUCACAAUGUGACCAGCGUGACAGAUGAUGUGGUUAUUAGCAUCCUCAGGUCUUCCUCUAAAAGACUGCACAUGGUGCUGGGCAGAGCUGUGCAAAAUCUACUCCCUCCGCCGCCUCCCGACAGACUCCAGGACAUUGUCAUCCCCAAGACUCCAUCCGGACAACUGGGUAUCAAGCUAACAGGGGGUAUUGGCAGCAAGUGGCAGGGAAUUUAUGUCCAGGAGGUGGUGCCAAGCUCCCCUGCUAGUGAAGAGGGCAGCAUCCAGCCCAAUGACAAGAUUGUUUAUAUAUGUGGGAAGUGCACCCUGGGAAUGAUGCUGGAGGAUGCUGUGAAAGUGUGUGAGAGUGCCCCACGCAAAGUCCGAUUAAAAGCCAUGAGGUUUGAAUGGAGAAUAAUUAUGUUUAAACAUGAAUUAGUAUCAGUUUUUGCCUUAAUAAGUUUUUAUUUAAUGUUUGCUUUGUUUCAGAGAUGACCAACCAGUGAUACCAGUAGAUAAAUGGAAUGGUACGUUUGAGCCGAGUCUACUUGAAUUACAGCAAUAAUUGGUUUAUUCAUAAUUUAUACAAAAUAUAAAGGUUGAUGUUUACUGUAAUAAGAUUGUGUGUUUGCUGAUAUUAUUGAUUCUUUUGAUUAUAUGGGGUUACAUGUAGACUUUAACCUUCCCUUGGGCCAG